CAGCCGCCGCGGUAAUACAGAGGGUGCGAGCGUUAAUCGGAUUUACUGGGCGUAAAGCGUGCGUAGGCGGCUUUUUAAGUCGGAUGUGAAAUCCCUGAGCUUAACUUAGGAAUUGCAUUCGAUACUGGGAAGCUAGAGUAUGGGAGAGGAUGGUAGAAUUCCAGGUGUAGCGGUGAAAUGCGUAGAGAUCUGGAGGAAUACCGAUGGCGAAGGCAGCCAUCUGGCCUAAUACUGACGCUGAGGUACGAAAGCAUGGGGAGCAAAUAGGAUUAGAUACCCCCGUAGUCCCUGUCUCUUAUAA
rnacentral:rRNA from 1 species